AUACGGGGGGUGCAAGCGUUAUUCGGAUUUAUAGGGCGUAAAGGGCGCGUAGGCGGCUUGGAAAGUCAGAUGUGAAAGCCCGGGGCUCAACCCCGGGAGUGCAUUUGAAACUAUCAGGCUUGUGUAUGGGAGAGGGAAGUGGAAUUCCUGGUGUAGAGGUGAAAUUCGUAGAUAUCAGGAGGAACACCGGUGGCGAAGGCGACUUCCUGGACCAAUACUGACGCUGAGGCGCGAAGGCGUGGGGAGCAAACAGGAUUAGAAACCCCAGUAGUCC
rnacentral:rRNA from 1 species